GGUCUGGUGGUGUAGUUGGUUAUCACGUCAGUCUAACAGUUCGAGGCGACUCGACCUGAGCACACUGAAGGUCUCCGGUUCAAGUCCGGGCUAGAUCA
rfam:Glomerella graminicola M1.001 genomic scaffold supercont1.44, whole genome shotgun sequence.